rnacentral:rRNA from 1 species
UAAGGGCGCACGGUGGAUGCCUUGGCACUAGAAGCCGAUGAAGGACGUUACUAACGACGAUAUGCUUUGGGGAGCUGUAAGUAAGCUUUGAUCCAGAGAUUUCCGAAUGGGGAAACCCAGCAUGAGUUAUGUCAUGUUAUCGAUAUGUGAAUACAUAGCAUAUCAGAAGGCACACCCGGAGAACUGAAACAUCUUAGUACCCGGAGGAAGAGAAAGAAAAUUCGAUUCCCUUAGUAGCGGCGAGCGAAACGGGAAGAGCCCAAACCAACAAGCUUGCUUGUUGGGGUUGUAGGACACUCUAUACGGAGUUACAAAGGACGACAUUAGACGAAUCAUCUGGAAAGAUGAAUCAAAGAAGGUAAUAAUCCUGUAGUCGAAAAUGUUGUCUCUCUUGAGUGGAUCCUGAGUACGACGGAGCACGUGAAAUUCCGUCGGAAUCUGGGA